rnacentral:lncRNA from 1 species
GCCAUGAUUUUGGGAAUUUUCGGCCAAAUCCAAAGGGUGAUUUUUUGGGUUCAUGUUUGUCUUGUUAAAAUGGUUUUAAGGUGACUUUUGGAACCCCUAAGUACCCUAGGAUGUUAGCCUCAUUUUGAAUGAUGAAAAUUUGAGUUUUUUGGCUUGAAAACAUUCAUGGAGCUCUUAUGCGUUUUCAUGGAUGUUCUUCAUAUGUUCUUGAUGUUCUUGCCAAGAACACAAAGGUUUGUGUUUUGAUUC